rnacentral:rRNA from 1 species
AACGAACGCUGGCGGCAUGCCUAACACAUGCAAGUCGAACGAGACCUUCGGGUCUAGUGGCGCACGGGUGCGUAACGCGUGGGAACCUGCCCUUAGGUUCGGAAUAACUCCCCGAAAGGGGUGCUAAUACCGGAUAAUGUCUUCGGACCAAAGAUUUAUCGCCUUUGGAUGGGCCCGCGUUGGAUUAGCUAGUUGGUAGGGUAAAAGCCUACCAAGGCGACGAUCCAUAGCUGGUCUGAGAGGAUGAUCAGCCACACUGGGACUGAGACACGGCCCAGACUCCUACGGGAGGCAGCAGUGGGGAAUAGUGGACAAUGGGCGAAAGCCUGAUCCAGCAAUGCCGCGUGAGUGAUGAAGGCCUUAGGGUUGCAAAGCUCUUUUACCCGGGAUGAUAAUGACAGUACCGGGAGAAUAAGCUCCGGCUAACUCCGUG